rnacentral:lncRNA from 1 species
UCAGGAGAGCCCCAGGGAUGGACAGACGGUGUGUCUGCAGGACUGGUGUUUAGUCAAGGGGUGGUACUUGGCUCGGCUGGCAGAGCUAUCUACCCCAGGAGACCAGGAGCAGGUGGUGGAGGUUGUUCGCAUGCUGACGGUGGACAAAGGCAUUGCGACAUCGCUCAGGAAGCCUUUGAGGAAAGAGGAACCCCAAGGCACCAAGAAACACAACCCCCCUCCCUCCCAUCUGAGCAGCUUCUCCUUUCUCAUGGGAAGUGCUGGGACCAGGGGAGGCUGCCUGAGCUGAACCUCCUGCCGUGUGGAUUUGCUGCUAGCUGUGGGCUCUGCACAAACCCAUGCUCCAGCUGGCAUGGGAAUUUGGAAUGUAUUUUCUUGAUGCUCAUGUGGAAAUUGGUUAUGCCCAUUUUUUAAAAUGCCACUUUUCUUUUCAAAACCCACAUUCUCCACGUGUUUGGGUUGCAGAGCUGAACCUCAGCCUCCUGAGCACACUGGACACCUGCCUUCCAGAGGAAGCAACACAUGGCUUCUUCAGCAAGAUUUUGGGGAGUUCAACCUGUCCCAUCCUGUCCACAAAGAGCAUGGAAAGAAGUUUGCUGUUGCUGCUGUUGGCCUCCAUCUUAAGGACAUCUUUGCCAGAGGGGCUGUAUUGA